rnacentral:tRNA from 1 species
CGGGGUGUAGCUCAGUGGUAGAGCGCUCGGCUGGGGGUCGAGAGGUUUCGCUGGUUCAAGCCCAGUCACCCCGA